rnacentral:rRNA from 2 species
AGACCCGAAACCCGGUGAUCUAGCCAUGGGCAGGUUGAAGGUUGGGUAACACUAACUGGAGGACCGAACCGACUAAUGUUGAAAAAUUAGCGGAUGACCUGUGGCUGGGGGUGAAAGGCCAAUCAAACCGGGAGAUAGCUGGUUCUCCCCGAAAGCUAUUUAGGUAGCGCCUCGUGAAUUCAUCUCCGGGGGUAGAGCACUGUUUCGGCUAGGGGGCCAUCCCGGCUUACCAACCCGAUGCAAACUGCGAAUACCGGAGAAUGUUAUCACGGGAGACACACGGCGGGUGCUAACGUCCGUCGUGAAGAGGGAAACAACCCAGACCGCCAGCUAAGGUCCCAAAGUCAUGGUUAAGUGGGAAACGAUGUGGGAAGGCCCAGACAGCCAGGAUGUUGGCUUAGAAGCAGCCAUCAUUUAAAGAAAGCGUAAUAGCUCACUGGUCGAGUCGGCCUGCGCGGAAGAUGUAACGGGGCUAAACCAUGCACCGAAGCUGCGGCAGCGAACGUAUCACCCAAGACAACUUUACGGAGUUGACGAUUGACGGAGCGAAGCGACGUCAAAGCGUUCAUUAAAGUCGAGUUGGCUUAGGGAUACGUUCGUUGGGUAGGGGAGCGUUCUGUAAGCCUGUGAAGGUGUGUCGUGAGGCAUGCUGGAGGUA